rnacentral:pre_miRNA from 1 species
CAUGUACUCCCUCCGUCCGGAAAUACUUGUCAUCAAAAUGAAUAAAAGGGGAUGUAUUUAGAUGUAUUUUAGUUUUAGAUACAUCCUUUUUUGUCCAUUUUGAUGACAAGUAUUUUUGGACGGAGGGAGUACGUG